rnacentral:rRNA from 1 species
GACGAACGCUGGCGGCGUGCCUAAUACAUGCAAGUAGAACGCACAGUUUAUACCGUAGCUUGCUACACCAUAGACUGUGAGUUGCGAACGUGUGAGUAACGCGUAGGUAACCUGCCUGGUAGCGGGGGAUAACUAUUGGAAACGAUAGCUAAUACCGCAUAAUAUUAAUUAUUGCAUGAUAAUUAAUUGAAAGGUGCAAUUGCACCACUACCAGAUGGACCUGCGUUGUAUUAGCUAGUAGGUGAGGUAACGGCUCACCUAGGCGACGAUACAUAGCCGACCUGGGAGGGGGAUCGGCCACACUGGGACUGAGACACGGCCCAGAAUCCUACGGGAGGCAGCAGUAGGGAAUCUUCGGCAAUGGACGAAAGUCUGACCGAGCAACGCCGCGUGAGUGAAGAAGGUUUUCGGAUCGUAAAGCUCUGUUGUAAGAGAAGAACGGGUGUGAGAGUGGAAAGUUCACACUGUGACGGUAUCUUACCAGAAAGGGACGGCUAACUACGUG